rnacentral:rRNA from 1 species
GUCUACGGCCAUGCCACCCUGAACACGCCUGAUCUUGUCUGAUCUUGGAAGCUAAGCAGGGUUGGGCCUGGUUAGUACUUGGAUGGGAGACCACCUAGGAAGACCAGGUGCUGUAGGCU